UGCAAGUCGAACGCUUCUUUUUCCACCGGAGCUUGCUCCACCGGAAAAAGAAGAGUGGCGAACGGGUGAGUAACACGUGGGUAACCUGCCCAUCAGAAGGGGAUAACACUUGGAAACAGGUGCUAAUACCGUAUAACAAUCAAAACCGCAUGGUUUUGAUUUGAAAGGCGCUUUCGGGUGUCGCUGAUGGAUGGACCCGCGGUGCAUUAGCUAGUUGGUGAGGUAACGGCUCACCAAGGCCACGAUGCAUAGCCGACCUGAGAGGGUGAUCGGCCACAUUGGGACUGAGACACGGCCCAAACUCCUACGGGAGGCAGCAGUAGGGAAUCUUCGGCAAUGGACGAAAGUCUGACCGAGCAACGCCGCGUGAGUGAAGAAGGUUUUCGGAUCGUAAAACUCUGUUGUUAGAGAAGAACAAGGAUGAGAGUAACUGUUCAUCCCUUGACGGUAUCUAACCAGAAAGCCACGGCUAACUACGUGCCAGCAGCCGCGGUAAUACGUAGGUGGCAAGCGUUGUCCGGAUUUAUUGGGCGUAAAGCGAGCGCAGGCGGUUUCUUAAGUCUGAUGUGAAAGCCCCCGGCUCAACCGGGGAGGGUCAUUGGAAACUGGGAGACUUGAGUGCAGAAGAGGAGAGUGGAAUUCCAUGUGUAGCGGUGAAAUGCGUAGAUAUAUGGAGGAACACCAGUGGCGAAGGCGGCUCUCUGGUCUGUAACUGACGCUGAGGCUCGAAAGCGUGGGGAGCAAACAGGAUUAGAUACCCUGGUAGUCCACGCCGUAAACGAUGAGUGCUAAGUGUUGGGAGGGUUUCCGCCCUUCAGUGCUGCAGCUAACGCAUUAAGCACUCCGCCCUGGGGAGUACGACCGCAAGGUGA
rnacentral:rRNA from 1 species